UGGUAAUGCCGGAUGCUCCGGUUGGAUGCAUGUCCUUCCGGGAAAGAUUCUAUCGGUAUGGGAUGGGGUCGCGUCCUAUCAGCUUGAUGGCGGGGUAACGGCCCACCAUGGCUUCGACGGGUAGCCGGCCUGAGAGGGCGACCGGCCACAUUGGGACUGAGAUACGGCCCAGACUCCUACGGGAGGCAGCAGUGGGGAAUAUUGCACAAUGGGCGCAAGCCUGAUGCAGCGACGCCGCGUGCGGGAUGGAGGCCUUCGGGUUGUAAACCGCUUUUGAUCGGGAGCAAGCCCUUCGGGGUGAGUGUACCUUUCGAAUAAGCACCGGCUAACUACGUGCCAGCAGCCGCGGUAAUACGUAGGGUGCAAGCGUUAUCCGGAAUUAUUGGGCGUAAAGGGCUCGUAGGCGGUUCGUCGCGUCCGGUGUGAAAGCCCAUCGCUUAACGGUGGGUCUGCGCCGGGUACGGGCGGGCUGGAGUGCGGUAGGGGAGACUGGAAUUCCCGGUGUAACGGUGGAAUGUGUAGAUAUCGGAAA
rnacentral:rRNA from 1 species